AUAAAUUCUUCGAUGCACACUGUUCUUUGCUGAUUUAUUGAAUCUAGAAUGUAAUUUUGUGUUUGAGCGUAAAAAUUUUGUUAUAAUUUGCGUUUGUUGUUAGCUAAUUUUGGAUUUUGUAGGUUCGUACUUUUCUAGGGUUUCAAAAUAUUCAACUCAUUUCCAUCUUUGAAUUUAUCUAAUUGGUAUGCCGAUGCAUUACUGAUAAGAGUUGGGUUAUGAAUAUAGCUCAAAUCUAUAGGAGAUAACAUAUUGGUUGGUAUAAUCGCCCGUGUUUAUGUCAAGCUUUAAUUUAGAUGGUAAUUGGUUAGGAUUUUAGCUUCCUGUAGACUCCAACCUGGAUUAAAUACUAUCAAACAUUCAAUACCAUCAUCAAUACCAUGGUGGUUAUGAACUUGUGCAAUUGUACAUGUACUAAUGACCUUUUUUAAACAGGCGAGACCCCACUUUAAUUCGAUACAGAGCUUUAUUACAUAUCUAGCUGCUUAAAACUGAAGAUCAAACAAAUAUAUGGUAUUUGUUACUGCUGACCGCACCUUUUUGCCCUUCAAGAACUGUUUUCUUAUUAUCCCUUUCUAAUAACAUCCCCGUUAGCACUACCGGCCGACGUUUAUACAUCUGUGUUGAUUUAUUUGACAAAAACCUAAGAGGACAGUGAUUGAAGAGCAGGAAUGCAGAGAUCUGGGUCCCACUGUCGAUUUUACACCUAUCAGUCCAUAAUUUCAAUUUUUGUCUGUUGAAGAUGAUUUGAUGAGUUUUAAAGGCUGUGAUGAUCAAUUUCAAUGCUUUUGAGUGAAAUCCAGCAAAGAUGAGAUUGUCCGCAUCUUGGCAUGGCAACCAGUAGGUAUGCAGCCAUGGCGGAUUUAUCCACUCUGUUCGAUUGUUACAGAUCUGAGCCUCAUAAUCGUUUUAUAACAUCGACAACAGUACUGGUAUACACCUGUCAUGUUUUCUGGUUUUGGUACAUUCAAUGAUGCCAGCACUGAACGCACAAAAGCGGUACGAUUGCUGGUUGGUUUUGACUUACUUGGCCGAAACCAAGCAGGUUUUGCUCAAAAUCCGGUUUGUGCACCUCUACAAUCAACCGUCACUUUAUAAGUAUACAAGAUUAAUUGUUGGAAUUCACAUGGCUUGCUUGGAAACUGGCCGGAAUUUAGAGGUUUUGGUCGGAAUAUACAAGUUUUUUGCCGGAAUCGCCGAUUAUUGGUUGGCCGACUAGCGAUUAAUAGACUGAUUAACGAAAAAUUACUCGGUUACUGGCCGACUAGUCGCCGCCUAGUCGCGAUUUUUACAACACUGCUUUAUAUAGUGCUGGAUGUUGUCAUAGUUGUCAAUAGCGAUCGCUAUAGCGCGCUACCCUAUUAUUGUUGUAGCGAUGGAUAGCGAGAAUAUCGACACUUAUUUAUUUAUUUUUUUUAUAUAAAUAGCAAUUAAAUA